rnacentral:rRNA from 1 species
CCUACGGGUGGCAGCAGUGAGGAAUAUUGGUCAAUGGGCGCGAGCCUGAACCAGCCAAGUAGCGUGAAGGAUGACUGCCCUACGGGUUGUAAACUUCUUUUAUAAAGGAAUACAGUGAGGCACGUGUGCCUUUUUGUAUGUACUUUAUGAAUAAGGAUCGGCUAACGCCGGGCCAGCAGCCGCGGUAAUACGGAUGAUCCGAGCGUUAUCCGGAUUUAUUGGGUUUAAAGGGAACUUAGAUGGGUUGUUAAGUCAGUUGUGAAAGUUUGCGGCUCAAACGUAAAAUUGCAAUUGAUACUGGCAGCCUUGAGUACAGUUGAGGUAGGCGGAAUUCGUGGUGUAGCGGUGAAAUGCUUAGAUAUCACGAAGAACUCCGAUUGCGAAGGCAGCUUACUAAACUGCCACUGACAUUGAUGCUCGAAAGUGUGGGUAUCAAACAGGAUUAGAUACCCUGGUAGUC